rnacentral:rRNA from 1 species
GACGAACGCUGGCGGCGUGCCUAAUACAUGCAAGUAGAACGCUGAAGGAGGAGCUUGCUCUUCUGGAUGAGUUGCGAACGGGUGAGUAACGCGUAGGUAACCUGCCUGGUAGCGGGGGAUAACUAUUGGAAACGAUAGCUAAUACCGCAUAAGAGUAGAUGUUGCAUGACAUUUGCUUAAAAGGUGCAAUUGCAUCACUACCAGAUGGACCUGCGUUGUAUUAGCUAGUUGGUGGGGUAACGGCUCACCAAGGCGACGAUACAUAGCCGACCUGAGAGGGGGAUCGGCCACACUGGGACUGAGACACGGCCCAGACUCCUACGGGAGGCAGCAGUAGGGAAUCUUCGGCAAUGGACGGAAGUCUGACCGAGCAACGCCGCGUGAGUGAAGAAGGUUUUCGGACCGUAAAGCUCUGUUGUAAGAGAAGAACGAGUGUGAGAGUGGAAAGUUCACACUGUGACGGUAUCUUACCAGAAAGGGACGGCUAACUACGUG